rnacentral:lncRNA from 1 species
AAGGAAACUUUCUUUCAAAUUAGCUAGAGCUUUUAACAACUAAGUAAGGUAUACUCCUGUGAACAAAAUUUGGAACAUGUUUGUUUCUCUCUGCCUGGUUUCUCUAGAAUUCAGAAACUGGUUGUAAGUAUUCUUGACUUAUAACAAUAUAGUUGUUUGCAUCAGCGCAAUAAGAAUCUACUUUAUUUUGCAACAAAACACAAUUGGAAAAACUCGUUGUUUUACCAAGGCUUUGACUGAAAGGGUGUGUUUCCCUUUAAAGAGUCAAGUUCGACUUGCAGAGCCAGUAAAAGCCUCCUGGAAAACCGGCCUCAUACCUUGUCUACACAGCCCCUGUACAGGGUUCCUAACCUGUGAGGCCAUCAAGCUCCAAAUGGUAAAGUAAAUGGAACCACACAUUAAACGCACCUUUUUUCUGAGGACCCUUAAACCAGCCUCGGGAGGAAUCCUAGCUGCUGUUCCUCACACAAUGCUCCUCUCCAGCAAGAAAUAGCCAGAAAGAUCAAUGCCCAAUCUCCCUAACAGCAGUUAGAGUUCCCACUUCUGAAGUGGGGAAUGAGGGUGAGGGAAAAGAAAAAAUCAGUUGGGGCAAACUUACAGUGUAGAAGCGGUCUGCCUGAAAAGUCACAGCAAUGGGCAAAAACAAAACAAUCUGGGACAAAAACUCAGGCUGCACCUGCACACAGAGAAGCAGACAGCGUCCAGAAAAGAAGCCGUUUGUUCUUCGUAUAAUUAGCAAGCUCCCAGGAAAAAGUUUCCUCCCCUUUUGAGGCAUAUACAUGGUGGGCUCCACAGAAACUUGCACAGGGAAGACGGGGGCUUACCUAAAACAAACCCACAGUUAUACAGAAAAGAGAAGUGGCGCUUUGUGCUUGCCUAGAGACAUACCCACAGCUGCAUAAGAUAAGGGGAGUUGCACAGACAGCUUUACUGAUAGGAGAAGUUACUCAAACUGCUACAGAGAUGAGAAGAGUUUCUUAUAAAAGCUUCUGGAGUCAGCUGUAACUCGGCAAUCCACUCGGACUCCCCUCUCCGCUGCGAAGUGCUUUCUUUCGCUUAUUAAACUUUCACUCCACCCCCACCCUUGUGUCCAUGCUCCUUAAUUUUUUUGGAUGCAGGACAAAGAACCCCGGGUACUUGUUCAGACAACGAGAAACCGCUACUUUAAGGUGCACUGGCAAAACUGCAACAGAACAAGUUAAGUCCACAUGGCUCCACAUUCUGUGGAGGAGGACAUGUUCCUCUUCCACAGAAAAGGGAAGUAGAAGCUCUUCUACUAGGGAGAGGUAGGAAAUCUGGAGGGAACAAGGGGAUAGAAGGUAACAAAAGCAGAUGAAGGAACGGAUUUGUGCGCAGCCUCCAUUUCCCAGCUUUGGAGGAGACUAUCCAAUAGAAGGUGGUUGCCAUGUGAAAGAGAAACCAUGCUGAAGUGUACUUGGGCAGGAGACCUAGAGACAACUUCCCUUUCCACAUCUGCUGUGCAGUCUCCCUUGGCUGUAGGGUGCAGCCAGGGAGCCCAGACGUUUCCACAUGCUUCCAGUGGGGAACAUGGAUGGUAGCUAAGAGUUGAGAGCCAGUGGCCUGCCAGGGGUCACAGUAAUAAGGAAUAGGAUGACAUGUGGCAACUCUAUGGGAUGGAAGGCUUAAGACACGACAGGCUCUUGUAGACAAGCGGGCUUCAGAGGAUCCACAGUACCAGUGAGGGCCAAAAUGGAGAUAAGUCCCCAUAGUGGGUCUGGUGAGGAAAGGACCGUUGGUCCCAAAGGCAGCAAGAGAACUGAAUAGAAGUUACUGCAGCAGGGGUUCCUUCAGCAGCAGAUGAAAGGGUGCCAGUAUACCCGGGAAGACAGGCACACCUACCCAGAACCAGGAGGAGGCAGCAGAGACAGAGGUAAGCAGGCCAGAACCAUCUAAAACAUGUUCCUCAAGGGUGCACAAUCCUCCUGUCACCAGGAUGCUAGAGAGAAAAGGAAGAGAGGAAAAGAGACCCUCUGGAGCACAGAAACAGCCCAGAGAGGGAGUCUGAAUUUUGGGCCGACUGGAUUGGACACUUAUCCCAAAUGAAAGCUUCAGCCCAACACAAAUUGAGCUACCUUCAAUUACAAGCUUUCAUUUGCCACCGUCAACCUGAAGGCAGGAUCUUAAAGUUUAGCUCUUUUCUGGUUUGUCACUGUGAGAUGAAGCCACUGGGUAGAGCACACAGAAGUAGUAUUUAUAAUACACAAAGCCUUGCUAUUAAGAUUUAGUAAGAAAGAAAUGCCCAUUGUAUUGAGGUAAAACCCCCUAUUCUGCAUCAUUCCUCUCACUUUACUGGUGUAGAAUUUGUAAUAAGUUCUAAUAAGAAGGACAACAUUUAAAUGGAUGGGCCCUGAUAUAUAUUUUUGACUAAUUUCUCCUCUUUGGUAUCUCAUUUCCCAAGAAAGCUUUAAAAUCCUCUAACACCAAGGACAGUACUGGUUCAGCUACAUUGUAGAACUGCUCUGAUCACAUAUACUCACAUUCAGAUUACAGGCUUGCAAUGAUUAGAGUUAUUCUUAGAGUAAUUUUACAGAAUAUUUUCAGGGUAGCUAUCUGGGUCAGGUGCUUGGCAUUAGCAGAAAAUAUGAGAAUAAUGAAUUUCCAUAGUGAUUUUCCAAUAACUUAAAAAAUAGAUUUCAAAAAUAAAAAUGAAAUGUCUCACUUGCAUUUUCUCUGUAUCAGCUAUGUUUUUAACAUCUGUAGUUUAAUAUAAAACCUUGUUAUAUUUAGACUUCAUCAAUAAAUAAUAUCUAAUUCAGCAGACUAUGAAAAACGUAACAUUUUGAGGCUGCGAGUCCCUGCACUCAAUAUACACUAUCAUUAAUCUACAAUAAUGUGUGUGUGCAUGCUUUUGUGUAUUUGGUGUGUGGAAGUUACUCAUCUCUCGCUCCUCUUAAAGGUUGUUUCUUACUUUUAGACCAUUCACUAGGAGUCUCAAGACAAAGAGUCAUUUUUGAUUCUCUCCCCUUAAUUCUGAAGUAAAUAUAACCAGGAAGAUUCUUUAGGCAUAGGAAACAAAUCCUCAAUUUGAGAAACACUGAUUUUUUUUAACUAUCCUUUUUUUUUUCCUUUUUAUUGAGACAGAGUCUCGCUCUAUCACCCAGCUGGAGUGCAGUGGCAUGGUCUUGCCUCACUGCAACCUCUGCCACCCGGGUUCAAGUGAUUCUUGUGCCUCAGCCCCCCGAAGAGCUGGGACUACAGGUACGCGCCACCACACCUGGCUAACUUUUUUGUAUUUUUAGUAGAGACAAGGUUUGGCUAUGUUGGUCAGGCUGGUCUCGAACUCCUGACCUCAGGUGAUCCAUCUGCCUCAGCCUCCCAAAGUGCUGGGAUUACAGUCGUGAGCCACCAUGCCCGGCCUCCAUUUUUAUUUUAUAAUAAAUUGAGGACCUUUCCUGCUUUCAUCUAAAACCUCUUUUGCUCAUUUUCAUCAUAAAAGGAAGUGGAAAAAUGCUUACAAUUUAUAAGAAACAGUGCUGACACUUGAAUAUGUUACUAAUGUAGAAUACAAAGUUUAAUUUAGCAUUCAGAAAUCAAUAUACAUUUUCAGUGAAAAGACAGUUUAUCACUUGAUAUAGUUUGGAUGUUUGCCCCCCACAAAUCUCAUGUUAAAAUGUAGUCCCCAGUGUUGGAGGUGGGGCCUGGUGGGAGGUGAUUUGAUCGUGGGGGCGGAUUUCUCAUGUUUAGAACCAUCCUCUUGGUGCUCUCCUCACAACAGUGAGUUCUGGUGAGAUUUGGUUGUUUAAAAAUGUGUAGCUUACCCUCCACUCUCUCUUGCUCUCAGUCUCACCAUGUGAGACCUGCUCCCCCUUUGCCUUCUGCCAUGAUUGUAAGCUUCCUGAGGCCUCCCCCAAAGCCAGGCAUAUGUCAGUGCCAUGCUUGUACAGCCUGCAGAACCAUGAGC